GACAGAGGUGGCGAGCGUUGUUCGGAUUUAUUGGGCGUAAAGCGUACGCAGGCGGUUUGGUAAGUCAGAGGUGAAAUUCCGCAGCUUAACUGCGGCACUGCCUUUGAUACUGCCUUUCUAGAGUAUAUGAGGGGGAAGCGGAAUUCCGAGUGUAGAGGUGAAAUUCGUAGAUAUUCGGAGGAACACCGGUGGCGAAGGCGGCUUCCUGGCAUAUAACUGACGCUCAUGUACGAAAGCGUGGGUAGCAAAC
rnacentral:rRNA from 1 species